rnacentral:lncRNA from 1 species
CACAUUUGAAUAGUAAAUUAUUAAGUGACACUAUAACAUCAUGCUCUCCACCAAAUUCUUGCUGGAGACGAGGUUCCUAGUAGGGUUGCAGUCUCUCAUCAAGGUGAGCGGUAAUCGAAGCGAGCCACCCAGAUAGGAAGAACUCAGUAGAGCUCCAAACCCGGCAAGCCGAAUGAAACGCAGGCUAGUUCAAGUGCCAAUUAGAAAACUGCCACUGCUUUCCUUGCGUUGAAUCCCUGAAGCGCAUUGUAGAACACUACCUCUCUGCGGGAGGGUUGGAUGAUCUUGAGCACCGACGAAUGUCGAUCAUCCUGCACAACAGCGCUGUUCCUACCACUGUGCAUAAGUUCCUCUCCCACCAGCACCUUCCAAGGCCGUUUCAUCGUCCGUGACGGAGCGGAGUGUUGCCCAUUGAUCUCGCAAAUUUAAUCCGCCUUGAGCACCUGCAUCGGAUGAAAGACAACACCCGGAUUUGCUGAUUUGUACAGCCUCUCUCGGUAGUAGAGCUGCAUCAUCGGUUCCUUGGAGCCGCGACAGGGCGGGGAAUUUGCAGAAAGAGCAUGCCAAACGCUGUAAAGUUUGGCAUGAGCUCGAUUGUGAUAUCAAGCCUGAUUACCUGCCAUCCGCUUCUUGGAUUGUGCAACCUGGCAAUUUAUUUGCGCUCUUGUGCAAUAUUUCCUUGGUUAGAACAGCACUACACAAACCUCUGAUUUUUCUUGGUGUAUGUGGGUUUAGGCUGAAUAUUGAUUCCAGGCGCUCGCGUUUCCAACGUCUGCAUUGAGCCGGAUGCGGCAAGGAG